GAUGAACGCUGGCGGCAUGCCUAAUACAUGCAAGUCGAGCGCUGAAGGUUGGUACUUGUACCGAUUGGAUGAGCAGCGAACGGGUGAGUAACGCGUGGGGAAUCUGCCUUUGAGCGGGGGACAACAUCUGGAAACGAAUGCUAAUACCGCAUAAAAACUUUAAACACAAGUUUCAAGAUUGAAAGAUGCAAUUGCAUCACUCAAAGAUGAUCCCGCUUUGUAUUAGGUAGUUGGUGAGGUAAAGGCUCAACAAGGCGAUGGUACAUAGCCGACCUGAGAGGGUGGACGGCCACAUUGGGACCGGGACAACGCCCCAGCCCCUAAGGGAGGCAACAGUUGGGGAACUUCGGCAAUGGACGGAAGUCUUACCGAACAACGCCGCGGGGGUGGAGGAAGUUUUCGGAUUCUAAAACUCUUUUGGUAGGGAAGGAAGUUAGUGGGAGUGAAAAGCUCACGAAGUGACGGUACCUACUCAGAAAGCCACGGCUAACUACGUG
rnacentral:rRNA from 1 species